UGUUUCAACCGCAAUCUUGCUAGUAUCGUUAAAAUGCCUUUUGGAUUUAUAAUAGUCACGGGAAUCCUUGCGUUUGGCGCCUAUUGGACGACAAAAUAUUUAUUAAGCAUGACCGACAACAACGCAUCCACAACUCAUAAUCCAUUAACAACUACCAUUGUCCCGAAAUUAUGAUGAUUUAUUUUAUUGAAUUCACACGCUUGUAUAUAGUUUAAGUUUUAGAAUCAAAUAAAUGAUUUAAGGAUA